AUUCAUAAUGGUUAACCAUGUGGGAUCUGCAUAUUUCGACAUUAUGUAAUCAUGGGAUGAGCGAUUAUACCAUGUUCUGGUCUUCUGUGUUGGUAGCUUGUAAGUCAACUACACGUCGGUAAUAGUAGUAAGUUGGUAGUCGUAGAGUUUUAAAUGAGCAUCGAUCGGUAACUCUAAUAUAUCGACGGUCUUCGAUUAAAGAUUAUCUAAAUUAUCUGUUGAUGGUUGAUAAUAGCCGACUAUCGGUCGGUCAACUAAUUGUGAGUCAGAAUAUUACUUUCAUAAGGCCGAUGUAG
rnacentral:lncRNA from 1 species